GGAUCCUAUAUAAUCCACAAAAUUAGGCGCUCUACCUAGAAACCCUAAUUUUUAUCUCAUUGUUCUGGCCGUUCACUCCAUUUGGCAAGGAACACGACCACCAAGAAUCGCAUCAACAAUCAACCUAAUAUGGUGUUAUUCAUUGAUUCUUGCUACCAAUUUCUAAUUCUCGAUCCUAGACCGAUUACUUCUCUGUUUGAUUCUUCAAAAUGCUUUAAUCAUCCAAGAAGUCUGCCUUUAAGGGUUCUGAUGUUAUCAUCUCCAAUUGAGGCUAUCGGAAGUUGACGAGUCACCGGUGUCUAUUGUAGUUGUUUUGCUUUGUUGCUUGCAUUACUCAUUGCACUAGGUAUUUCGUUACAGUGUAAUCUAAGUAUUUGGGAUUCCAAUCCGGUUCGGAGGAGGUGUCAAACCGAAUGGCAGAGAAUACUAUGUCGAGUCUGGUCAACUGGGUUGCGUACAGUCACUGAGUCCAUAAUUGAAUUACUGGAAUCUCAUUCCAUAAUUUCAAUGUUUGUUUGUUGGAUGAUGAUUUAAUGAGUUUUAAAGGCUGUAAUGGUAAAUUUCAAUGCGUCUCAGCGAAAUUGGGCAAAGAUGAGAUUGUCCGCAUCUUGGCAGGGCAACCCGGAUGGUCAUGUGGUUUCACAUGGCAACCGUAAGUAUGCAGCCAUGGCGGAAUUUAUCUACUCUGUUUGAUUAUUUACAAAUCUGAGCCUCAUAAUCGUUUUAAUGGAUAGUGACUGACUGACCUUUUCACUUACAAUUUGCAUUGCGACAGACAGAAGUUUAAAAUUUUGAAUGGCUUUAUAAAAAAUCACCAUUUUGAAUGGCUAAGCAUGCAGCCUUUAAAAUUUUUCGCCAUUUUCAAUGGCUAAACAUGUAGACUCGGAAAAGUUUCGCCAUUACAAAUGGCUUUUUGCUGGAUUUCGCCGUUCCAAAUGGCAUUUUGCAGGUUUUCGCCAUUCCAACUUGCUCUUUGCAGCUUUUCAUCCUUUUCAAGAUGAUUGGUUCUUACACUUUCUGAUUAUUCCCUAACACAACCUACUACCUUUAAAAAUUCGCCAUUUGUAUUGGCGCUGGAAUUAUUUGUGCAACAUUUUUGAAACUAGCAUUAGUUGUGAUCAUCAUUUCAAAAACAACACUAUAACAUCAAAAAACUCGGUGCUUAUCCCAUCUUCAAUGAAGAUUUUAGAGAACUCCCUGGGACUUUCAAUGCGGAGCGAGGCGAUAGAGAUAUUUGAGCAAGUCAGUUUUGAUUUAUUGACUAAAAAGCUAUAACCUGUAUAUUUUUCUUUCUACCAUAACUGAUGUACAAAAAACGGGCUGAGCCGUUCGCGAGACUGGCUUGUGAAAAGUCUUCUAUUCUAUUAUAUAUAAUAAAUGAAUAGAUUUGGGCUGAGGUGUCAUUACCUUAGAGCCUCUUAGAUGCCUUUUUGGCGAGAAAAUAAGAUGGAUCCUUUUCUUGCUCGCAGAUCCCGUUUUUAGUUACCCGACCCAAUUAGUUCGGAUCCUAUUUAAUCCACAAAAUUAGGCGCUCUACCCAAUUAGUCCAUAAUUUCAAUUUUUGUCUGUUGGAUGAUGAUUUGAUGAGUUUUAAAGGCUGUGAUGAUUAAUUUCAAUGCGUUUGAGUGAAAUUGGGCAAAGAUGAGAUUGUCCGCAUCUUGGCAGGGCAACCCGGAUAGUCAUAUGGUUUCACAUGGCAACCGUAAGUAUGCAGCCAUGGCGGAUUUAUCCACUCUGUUUGAUUUUUUACGAAUCUGAGCCUCAUAAUCGUUUUAUAACAUCGACACAUUCACUAUUGUUUAGAAACGCAAACCAUAUUUUGAGACAAACUGACUCUGUCUUGGUCAACGUAAGUCACAACCAACUGGAAAACGCGGCAAACACUGGAUUGAAUAAUCUUUUACUGCUGCUAAUCCAUAAAUAACUAACAUGGUACUUUUUGUACCUUCUGUCUUAAGUUUAUAAGUCAAAGAGACCCCAUAUCGCUUCUUCUUCAGCCUACUAUAUGUAGAGGUGGCAAAAGGGGUGGGUUUGGCGGAUUUAGAACAUGUCAAAACGGGUAAUUCUUUUAAUACGGGUCUAAAUGGGCAGGGUUUUUUUCGGGCUGAUGUGCGCAUUUUAUAUAUUAUGAAUAAUUAACGCAUUAAAGAGUUAUAAAAGGCAUACUGGUUAACACAAUGAUCAUUUUUUUAUUAAAUGAUUCUGAUUGGAUGUUUUCGGACCUGUUUGGACCUUCAUCUAUGUUUAAGAUACAAAUUAAAAUACAAAUUAAAUCCAAUUUCUAUAAUCUUGAAAAAAUUUAGCAAGUGGGCUGUUGUGUAGUAAAAAAAACACAUGAGUAUGUUGUAACAAGGUAUUGAGUUGCUAGCUAGAUCCUCAGUACUAUUUCUUUGUUCUCACACUUCUCUGGAGAACAUGCUUCAUCUGUAGCCGAAACAAUUCAGUGGUUCGCAUAGUUUAUCUGUGUUUACAGGUAUAAUCAUUCUCAUUUUCUAUUAGCUUGAAUCAGCUUAAAAAACAUGUGGGGUUAUUUAUGUGAACCUAAAUAUAUGUAUAUCUAUGUAGGUUUGGGUGUUCACACAGAUCUAGAAACCAGUUUUCAUGCUAAAGUGAUGUUCUUUUCACUUCUACCAUUUUAAUCAUCCUAUUUCUGAGUGAUUGGAUUAUCAUAUUCUCCUCAAGAACACAAGAUCGUCAUACUUGUGUCACUUUCUGUUUCAAUAAUCUAUAUAAUCACAUACUUCUUCUAUCAGGUAUACAUUUGUUUCAUUUACAAAAAAUGUUGCUAGAAGCGUAUAGGAUGUAGAUGCAUUACUUGAUUCAAUGAUGGUGUUUUGGAAACCUUUUUGUAGUGUUUUGAGCAACGGAUAUAGGAAAAGAGAUGACUAGAGUCCCGUUAUAGACCCUCAAUGAAAAAAAUCAUUGGUCCGCCAUUGGUACCGCAUAGUAGCAUAGUAUCAACACCAAAGUUUAUUUUAUAUAUUUAAACACUCUUGAGUUGUUCAUCUACAUGCAUCAUCUGGCAUGCAUCAUCUGGCUAUGAUUAUAUAAUACCAUUUAAAGAUGGAAUAUCUUGCCUAAACAGUUGUUGGAUUAAGAUUUAAUAAAUAAGUUUUGAAAUAUUUAUUAUAGUUUUUGGGGAACAAAUGUGAAAUAUUAAUGGGAUGAGAUUUCGAUUUUAUUAGUGUGCAUAUGAUACACAUCCAGGUGUACAUUAUUUUUUGAAGAUGAAAAGGGUACUUUUUUUCACAUGAUAUAUUUUUACGAUAUCAGUUUAUUCAGUAUUCCUUUCGUAUUGCAAAGAAAAUACAACGUUUCACAUGAUACUUAACUCUUAGGAAGACAACCUUUAGAGGAUCCGAGGUAACAGUUGCACGAAUGGCGUAUUUUUUUUUUUUUAUUUUGAUCACUUUGUUUUAAGUAGAUGUGCUCUUUAAGUGGGAGUUAAUGUUUUUUUUCUAUAGACAUUGUUGUCGAAUUAGAUAUCCCAUCAGUGAAGAAAAGUUCAAGUGAACCUAUAUUCAAGCGACCACGCCCGUCUCCAAACACCAUCGUCAUUACCGAAAUUUAAGAAGGGACUCGAUUUACUAAGAGAAUUGUUUUGGCAACUUGAAGGAUAUGCAUCUUUAAAGGGACUCGACUAUCUUUAAAUUGUAUUUCCACUGUCAUUAAUUCAUGCAACAUAACACUGUGUUUGUAUUUUUUUUAUUUGAACACUUAAUAUUUAUCUAAUUAAUUUUUCCCAGCCCGGGAAGCAAUCCCGGGUGAUAA